GAUGAACGCUGGCGGCGUGCCUAAUACAUGCAAGUCGAACGAAACUUCUUUAUCACCGAGUGCUUGCACUCACCGAUAAAGAGUUGAGUGGCGAACGGGUGAGUAACACGUGGGCAACCUGCCCAAAAGAGGGGGAUAACACUUGGAAACAGGUGCUAAUACCGCAUAACCAUAGUUACCGCAUGGUAACUAUGUAAAAGGUGGCUAUACUACCGCUUUUGGAUGGGCCCGCGGCGCAUUAGCUAGUUGGUAGGGUAAAGGCUUACCAAGGCAAUGAUGCGUAGCCGAAUUGAGAGGUUGAUCGGCCACAUUGGGACUGAGACACGGCCCAAACUCCUACGGGAGGCAGCAGUAGGGAAUCUUCCACAAUGGGCGAAAGCCUGAUGGAGCAACGCCGCGUGGGUGAAGAUGGUCUUCGGAUCGUAAAACCCUGUUGUUAGGGAAGAAAGUGCGUGAGAGUAACUGUUCACGUUUCGACGGUAUCUAACCAGAAAGCCACGGCUAACUACGUG
rnacentral:rRNA from 1 species